UAGGGAAUCUUCCACAAUGGACGAAAGUCUGAUGGAGCAACGCCGCGUGAGUGAAGAAGGGUUUCGGCUCGUAAAACUCUGUUGUUAAAGAAGAACAUAUCUGAGAGUAACUGUUCAGGUAUUGACGGUAUUUAACCAGAAAGCCACGGCUAACAACGUGCUAG
rnacentral:rRNA from 1 species